AAAAAGAGGGAUAGCUCAAGCAGAGUGGCCAGUGAAGGAGUGGAGCUUUGACUUGAGAGGCUUCAGCGAGCAGAGGCUGAGGACCAGUUCUCGGUAUUCUCAGGAGAGAGGGAGGCUGAUCAUUAAAAAUGAAAAAUAUAUUCCUAAAAAGUAAUCCAUUAAACACAAAUAUUUGGAUGGCCAAUUGGGAGAACUCAACAGCUGAUACAUUUUCCAUUCAUUAAGAAAGAAAGUGAGAUAAUGGAUAAAGACAAAUUUUUCAAAAGGUUAUGUUGGCCCUGGAAGUGUGGUGAUACUUGAAGUUGCCCAGCACAAUCCUUGCUGAUUUGAUGGAACACGGCUUAUUUCACUGAAUGUUUUGAUGUAAAC